UACGUAGGCAGCGAGCGUUGUUCGGAGUUACUGGGCGUAAAGGGUGUGUAGGCGGUUGUUUAAGUUUGGUGUGAAAUCUCCCGGCUCAACUGGGAGGGUGCGCCGAAUACUGAAUGACUAGAGUGCGGGAGAGGAAAGUGGAAUUCCUGGUGUAGCGGUGAAAUGCGUAGAUAUCAGGAGGAACACCGGUGGCGAAGGCGGGAUCCUGGGCCAGUACUGACGCUGAGGAGCGAAAGCGUGGGGAGCAAACAGG
rnacentral:rRNA from 1 species